UACGAAGGGGGCUAGCGUUGCUCGGAAUUACUGGGCGUAAAGGGCGCGUAGGCGGUUCAUACAGUCAGGCGUGAAAUUCCUGGGCUCAACCUGGGGGCUGCGCUUGAUACGUAUGGACUUGAGGACAGGAGAGGCUCGUGGAAUUCCCAGUGUAGAGGUGAAAUUCGUAGAUAUUGGGAAGAACACCGGUGGCGAAGGCGGCGACCUGGUCCUUGACUGACGCUGAGGCGCGAAAGCGUGGGGAGCAAACAGG
rnacentral:rRNA from 1 species